rnacentral:rRNA from 1 species
GACGAACGCUGGCGGCGUGCUUAACACAUGCAAGUCGAACGGGUCUGCCCUGUUUUUUGCGGGGUGGGUCAGUGGCGAACGGGUGAGUAACACGUGAGUAACCUGCCCCUCACUUCUGGAUAACCGCUUGAAAGGGUGGCUAAUACGGGGUGUUCUGGCUGUGCCGCAUGGUGUGGCUGGGAAAGAUUCACUUUUGUGGUGUUUUGGUGGGGGAUGGGCUCGCGGCCUAUCAGCUUGUCGGUGGGGUGAUGGCCUGCCAAGGCUUUGACGGGUAGCCGGCCUGAGAGGGUGGGCGGUCACACUGGGACUGAGAUACGGCCCAGACUCCUGCGGGAGGCAGCAGUGGGGGGUAUUGCACAAUGGGCGGAAGCCUGAUGCAGCGACGUCGCGUGAGGGAUGGAGGCCUUCGGGUUGUGAACCUCUUUCGCCGGUGAAGAAGGUCCUGCUCUUUGUGGUGGGGUUGACGGUAGCCGGGUUAUGAAGCGCCGGCUAACUACGUG